UGACAUGAGGGCAGCCAGCACCCUGGUGCGAUCUCCUGGCCAGUUAGCAGCACACUAGGUCAAUGUUCUCCAAAAUGGCAUUUUGUCAGGCUGCUCCAGUGACCCCAACGGUGCAGAACUGGCUUUGUCCAUCCUACUGACUCGGGGGUUAGCACUUGACUUCAAGCAAAAUCCAGCUUUAAGCAGAUUCCCUCAGGAGCUCACAUGGAGAAGCUGCAAAGGCACAUCCUGGCCACAGAGAUAAAGGUAAUAAGUUACUUCAAGAAGGUGACACAUAUGGACAGCAAGGAUGACCUGAACAGCUCUCUCUCUCUCUC